UGUGGACAGUGAAAAAGUCGUUUAUUAGCAGGACGUCCUGAUAGUUCUCGCUGAUACUGGAGGUCCUCGCCUGCCCUCUUCCCCCUUUCCCUUCACAGAGACGAGGUUUGCACCCGGGAGAACACAGGUUACCUUGUUCUCGCUGGACUUUUCACAUGUGCUUGCACAUGACUUGGAAGACAGUCAGAGGCAGAAGUCCCUGCAAAUGCUCCUGGCUACUUGCUGCAGGCAGCUGUUGCUGCUGCGGCAGAAGACUUUCCUGUGUCUAGCUGCCAGUGUCUUGGGUGCUGGGGGCAUCCUGUUCCUGGGAUCACAGCUAUGGUGGUAUCUUCUAGAACUCAGAAGUUUACCAAAUCACUGGAUGGACCAGAGGAGUGAGCUCCAGGUUGGGUUUCCAGAAGGGAAUCCCAGAACUCUUCCAACACACGGGCCUCUCAGGGAGCUGCUCCCUCUGCCAUGGUCAGUGAGAGGGGGAAGCAGGAGCCGCCAUUGGGGUUGUUGAGUUCGUGGCUGAGGGAUGAGGAAAUUGCUGCUACACACCCAUGAAGCUGACGUCUGGACACAAGUCCCUACUGAUAAGUGUUUAUGACAUUUCCAGCAUGGUGCCAUGACACUGCAUGGAAAUGCUGCAUGGAAAGUCCUUAUACAUCUAUCUUUGUGCAUUUAUUGUGAGCACCUACUAUGAGUAAAACCUGUGCUGGUAGCUGGAGAAACAUGAAGAUGAAGAAGAGUCAAUUCUUGUUCUUGGGGAUUAAAUAACAUAUUCAAGGGAAAAGACACAAAAUAACCAUUUCCAGGAUUCAAGUAUUUUGUUUCGUGCGCAUUUCCAACCCAUCAAAUCAGCUGCAGGCACCGCACCGUCUAACAGACCCAGGUGUUCUUGCUAGAAGGAACUGUCUUUAAGUUUCCCAGAAUUGAGGGGGCUUUUCUCGCUUGCUCACGCCCACUCUUUUGAAACCCUAAUGGCUGAAGAGUGAGCGCACCGGGCGCACUGAAGAUGAAGCUGACUCCCUGCACCUGCUUCCUCCCCAUUCUGUUGGCUCCGGUCGGUGUGGGCUUUUAGCCUCUCUGAAUGUGGAGGUUCCCAGGGAUACAGGGAACCACAAAGGUCCACAUUCUCAAAUGCAGCACUUCUUAACCAAGGCAUGGCUUUUUCUAGGUGGUCGGAGGCCAAAUACUCUGCUGCUGCCCAUCCCAACCAGUAGGCACAUGGAAAUGCCAGAAAAGCAACAGCUGGGUCUUCUCUUGCUGAGGAAGAGGGUGAAAUGCACCUUCUGUGAAAUGCUUGCCACAGCCGGUUUCCGACCCUGCUGCAGAGAUGACGGAUGAGAUUUCAGCUGUGAUGGAGAUGUGGUCCUGGGAGGCCAUUCUAGGCACUGCUCUUCAAAGAGGUUGUCUCCGUCCUGGGAUAGAAGUUCAUAAGGGGAAAUGUACAAGCACAGUUUUCCUGCCACCUCCAAGCUGCUUGGGGCUGGACUGGAUGCCCUGCCGGUCCCUCACUCUUCUUACCUUUGAACUUCGACUCUGGCCAGGCAUUUAGGCAGGUUUUCUAAUUUAACUUUUACAAUAACCUGUGACGUGGCUACGAUUAACCCCGUUUCACAGCUGAGCACCUGGCUGGGAGAUGUAAGGUACUUGCCCAAGGAAACCAAACAAUUAUCAGCCUGAAUUUGCCUAAUUUCCCACUCAUGCUUUGGUUGCAGUUCCAGAGUCUGCUACAGGAUCUCCCAUACAGAGUGGCCUGAAGACACUGGUUUCCCUCAGGAAACUGCAAACUCCUGUCUCUGGACGUCUCCCUUGUGGCCUCCCUCCCUGCUUCCCUGGGACGGUUAGUACCUUCUCCUGUGUUUCAUGUUGACCAUACAACUUUGCCUUCUUCCAAUCUAGGUUUAUGCCAGACAUUGUGUCUGUUAUUUUCCCUUUUUAAAGUGAUAUCUGGGCUGAAUGCGAUGGCUCACGCCUGUAAUCCCAGCACCUUGGGAGGCUGAGGUGGGCGGAUCACCUGAGGUCAGGAGUUUGAGACCAGCCUGACCAACAUGGAGAAACCCUGUCUCUACUAAAAAUACAAAAUUAGCUGGGCAUGGUGGUGCAUGCCUGUAAUCCCAGCUAUUCGGGAGGCUGAGGCAGGAGAAUUGCUUGAACCUGGGAGGUGAAGGUUGAUGUGAGCGGAGAUCACGCCACUGCACUCCAGCCUGGGCAACAAGAGUGAAACUCUGUCUCAAAAAAAAAAUAAAAACUAAAAUAAAAAUAAGUGAUAUCUGUG